UCUCUGCAGCAAAUUGCUGUCCUUGCUGGGUGUAAAACCACCACCUCGGCUGUCUUUGUUCACUGCCUGCGCCAGAAGUCGGAGGACGAGCUCUUGGACUUAACGCUGAAGAUGAAAUUUUUAACUCUUGAUUUUCAUGGAGACCAAAGAGAGAGCCAUCCCUUCCUGCCCACUGUGGUGGAUGGAGUGCUGCUGCCCAAGAUGCCUGAAGAGAUUCUGGCUGAGAAGGAUUUCAACACUGUCCCCUACAUCGUGGGAAUCAACAAGCAAGAGUUUGGCUGGCUUCUGCCAACGAUGAUGGGCUUCCCCCUCUCUGAAGGCAAGCUGGACCAGAAGACGGCCACGUCACUCCUGUGGAAGUCCUACCCCAUCGCUAACAUCCCUGAGGAACUGACUCCAGUGGCCACUGACAAGUAUUUGGGGGGACAGACGACCCCGUCAAAAAGAAAGACCUGUUCCUGGACUUGAUGGGGGAUGUGGUGUUUGGUGUCCCAUCUGUGACGGUGGCCCGUCAACACAGAGAUGCAGGAGCCCCCACCUACAUGUAUGAGUUUCAGUAUCGCCCAAGCUUCUCAUCGGACAAGAAACCCAAGACGGUGAUCGGGGACCACGGGGAUGAGAUCUUCUCCGUCUUUGGUUUUCCACUGUUAAAAGGCGAUGCCCCAGAAGAGGAGGUCAGUCUCAGCAAGACGGUGAUGAAAUUCUGGGCCAACUUUGCUCGCAGUGGGAACCCCAAUGGGGAGGGGCUGCCCCAUUGGCCGAUGUACGACCAGGAAGAAGGGUACCUUCAGAUCGGCGUCAACACCCAGGCAGCCAAGAGGCUGAAAGGUGAAGAAGUGGCCUUCUGGAACGAUCUCCUGUCCAAGGAGGCAGCAAAGAAGCCACCCAAGAUAAAGCAUGCUGAGCUGUGAAGGGGAGGCUCGGCUGACCUUGAGGGCUUGUGGGACCGCAGGCAGGAGCAGUCUACCGAAGGCGUUGAUGGGCCAGGAGGUAUCUUCUUGUGGAGGCUGGGGAAUUAGCGGGUGGGAGUGGCGGAGAUCAGGGAGGGGGAAUUUCUGUAGCUGCGGCCUCAAUUUUAGAAAUAAAUGUUCUUUUGGAGACCAAGUCGGUGUCUC